GACGAACGCUGGCGGCGUGCUUAACACAUGCAAGUCGAACGGAAAGGCCCUGCUUUUGUGUGGUGCUCGAGUGGCGAACGGGUGAGUAACACGUGAGUAACCUGCCCUUGACUUUGGGAUAACUUCAGGAAACUGGGGCUAAUACCGGAUAGGAGCUCCUGCUGCAUGGUGGGGGUUGGAAAGUUUCGGCGGUUGGGGAUGGACUGGCGGGUUAUCAGCUUGUUGGUGGGGUAGUGGCUUACCAAGGCUUUGACGGGUAGCCGGCCUGAGAGGGUGACCGGCCACAUUGGGACUGAGAUACGGACCAGACUCCUACGGGAGGCAGCAGUGGGGAAUCUUGCACAAUGGGCGGAAGCCUGAUGCAGAAACGCCGCGUGCGGGAUGACGGCCUUCGGGUUGUAAACCGCUUUCGCCUGUGACGAAGCGUGAGUGACGGUAAUGGGUAAAGAAGCACCGGCUAACUACGUG
rnacentral:rRNA from 1 species